UACAAAUCAACCUCUUUCAGGUCUGGCUUAAACUCUCAGCUCCUGGAAACUGCUUUCCUGAAGUAACAACCGGCGUACAGCUCCCCAUCCCCCACCCCCGGCAGUGCCUUAUUAUGCAGUCACCGCUUUUGUUCUGAGUUCCGAGCCUGCGUCUAUUUGCAUUGUAACCUCUUUGGGGCCGGGACUGUGCAUUUGCUCCCUUUCUAUACCUCUCCUCAGUUCCUAGUACCGGCCAAAACCACUGCUGAAAUGCCUAAGGAGUCAACUAGAAGUUCCUUAGCAUAAUAUGGGGGGCGUGGAAGUGAUGUUUAGGGAGGCUUCCCUUGCGUCCCUGGCGCCCAGAUGGCGAGAAAUGGCAAUUUGCCCUUCCAAGGAACUUCUGCUCUGCUGGCCUAGAAAUCCUAGUUUCAAAGGAUAAAUGCUUCCACCAAGAGACACAAUAAUGAUUUCAUUGAACUGGAAGUUAAGACUGCUAGCUGGCCACUGAGGACUCCUCAGACCUCUGAAUCAAAAGGCAAAGGAGUUGCUGCACUGGCUGGAGUGACUGAUCCUCACUACCAAAGGGAAAAUGGAUGACAGUAGAGGGAAAAUGAUGUAAGAAGAGGGCAGGACUGUGUUGACCUCGGGCAAAUCGCACGGAUAGAAAAGGUACUUGAAAGAGCAAUGAAGGAAGCAGAUUCUAGUCAAAGAGGACGGGGAAGACAUUGGGACCCAACAAUUUGGUAAAACAAAAUUUUGGCAAUGGAGAGAUCAGACUGCCUUCAAUGUAAUCCAAAGGUCAACCUUAGAGACAGUGACGGGAGGUUAUCCAGGUACCAUGUGCAUUCUACAUGAGUCAACAUGAAGCACACAGUGAUCUCUAAAAUGGAUUCUAUCUAAAAUGUUUGUCUUGAAUCAAUCAAGCCUUUCUUUAGAGAUUACAGGAGAUAGAAGAGGUAGAGGAACAAGCUGAACACCACCAUUAACAAAUCAACCACACAAAUGUUGAUGGUCAGAUAAUGGAUAGGGCAUCUGUCCUGGUUUCCUCAACAAGUCAUAAAAAAGGAACAGUGCUAGAAUAAAAGAGACUUGAGGGACUGAAGAACUAGAUGUAAUGUGUGAUCCUGGAUUGAAUACUGGCAAGAACAAAUCAGCUCUUGAGGACAUUUUGGGAUCAUUUGGGAAACAGAAAUAUAACAUGAGUAUUAGAUAAUACAAAAAUAAACUGAAAUUGAAGGUAAAGCUUAUUAACAGAAUAAUGCAGGUUACAGAAUGGAGCAUAUACUAUGAUAUCAUUUUGGUUAAAAAUAUACACACAGAGGAAGAUUGGAAAGGAUUUGUAUUAAGCUAUUAACAGAGAUGAUCUCUGGGGGAUAGAAAUAUGAAAUUUAAAAAUUUCCCCCAAACACUUUCCUUCCCUCCCUUUAUCCCUCCUUCCCUCCCCUCCCUUCUUUUUCUUUUUUUUCCCCCCCCCCUUUUUUUUUUGACAGGGUCUUUGUCACCCAGGCUGAUGUGCAGUGGCACCAUCUCAGCUCUGUAGCCUUGACCUCCCUAGGCUAAGGUAAUCCUUCCCCUCAGCCUUCUGAGUAGCUGGAACUAUAGGCUUAUGCCACCACACCUGGCUAAUUUUUUGUAUUUUUUGUAGAGAUGGAGUUUCGCCAUGUUGCCCAGGCUGGCCUCGAACUCCUAGGCUCAAGCAACCCACCCACCUCAGCCUCCAAAAGUGCCAGGAUCACAUGUGUAAGCCACUGCACCCUGCUAAAAGAUUAUUAAAUGAAACUAAUCCUAAACUUAAAAAAAAAGCUAUUACGGUGUUUUCAGAAAAAGGAAAAUAAUGACACAGAGAGGUUUCUAACACUGGAGAGUACAAUAUAAAAUGAAUGAAAAGGCAUUUAAAUUAUUUAAAAGGUAACCUUAGCUUCUGCAUGAAAAAGAAUCUCAAUAUUUGGUAGCCUUAAAACUGUAUAAUGUCUAAAAUAAUAAAGUCCUCAUUAAAAAAUACAAUAAACAAUUUUUAAGAAACUUCAGGGUUAGAGUUGGAUACAGUGGCUCUUGCCUGUAAUCCCAGUGCUUUGGGAGGCUGAGGUGGGAGGACUGCUUGAGGCCAGGAGUUUAGGACCAGCCUGGGCAACAUAGUGAGACCCUGUUUACAAAAAACAAACAAAAAUUAGCUGGGUGUAGUGGCAUGUCUGUAGUCCUACUAGCUACUUGGGAGGCUGAGGCAGGAGGAUUGCUUGAGCUUGGGAGGCUAAGGCUGCAGUGAGCAGUGAGCCACCAUGCCCAGUCUAUCACCACUCUAGCCUGGGCAAUGGAGCAAAUAAUCCUGUUUUUAAACAAAGAAAAAUAGAAAGAAAUCCUAGGAUUAAGUCUAGUAUUUUUUAAUGAAUUUACUUUGAAACUACAAAUAGGACAAAUAGGAAUUUACCAUUAAUUUAAAGUGUAAAUACAAGUUAAAUUACACCAAAAAUAAACAUGCAAAACAAUGGUUUUUUUUACAUCUUUUAUUGGCAUUAUAUUUUAUUUUCCUGUCUCUAGGGUUUUGGCAACUACUUUGCUGCAUGUCUGAAAACACAAAGUUUACUUUGUAUCCAUAGAAAAAGAAAAUAUAAUACUUUAGUGCUAGUCUUGGUAUUCUAAAGAAUAUGACUGAUGAAUGAGUACAUGUAUGCAUAAAUUAAGAGUGAAUGAAUAUGCAGGAUGCUCAAUAGAGUUGUUUCUUUUCCAAAGCAGCCAAGGAAGCAGGUUGGUGUGCAAGGUUUCAGUUUCCUUAUCAGCUUUCUUUGGCCUUAGCUAUUGAACUCGUAAAAUUGGAAAAACAAAGUAAAAUGAAAGAGUGUCUGGUUUUGCUUUGGCAAGUUCCAGUCUUUUCUUCAAAGCAAGUAAACAUGUUUUCAAGAAUUCUUUGAAUAAUUGCGCUUAUGUUUUCAAUUGUGAUGAACUCAGCUGAUUCUUUGACUCAGCUUGGCAGAAACCUGAUUAGGAAGUAUAGUUCACUUCCUGGAGGGGGCUCAGAAGGUCAAAGCUUUUGUUUUUAAUGUCACUAAACUGGACAGACUUAUUUUUUUUUUCUUUUUCCAAGACAGUAGGAAAGCUCUUAUAAGAGAAGGCCCUAAGCACAAAUCACUGGGAAAUAGAACUUACAUGAAUUAUUUUUAGUUUCCUGUAUUCAAAGCCCAAGAUUCUUAUGAUUUCAAUUUGUUCUUUGAAAUUUUAUUUAUUUAUGUAUUUUUUAUUUCUUUUGAGAUAGGGUCUUGCUCUGUUUGCCUGGGGUUGGAGGGCAGUGACUUAGUUAUGGUUCACUGCAGCCUUGACCUGCUGGGCUGAAGCGAUUCUCCUACCUCAGCCUCCCAAGUAGUUGGGACUACAGGCAUGCGCCACCACACCCAGUUAACUUUUAAAAAAAUGUUUGGUAGAUACUGGGUCUCACUGUGUUGCCCAGACUGGUCUAGAACUCCUGGGCUCAAGCUAUCCUCCCACCUUGGCCUGCUGAAGUGCCGAGAUUGCAGGUAUGAGCCACCAUGCUCAGUCUAUCUAUUUAUUUAUUUUUAUAAUUUAAAAUGCUCUUUUUUACCUUUUCCUUAUUAAAAUCUGAAUUAAUUUAAAUACAUUAUUAAAAGGGUAGAAAAGGAUGUGAGAGAUUGGUCAACACUUGGCCAAAAUCAAAAUAAUGUAUCAGUGUUGACUUUGUUUAGACUGAGGGGAUUUUUUAUUGCUAGUUUAUGCUCCGUCUUUCUCUCUCAGUUAUCUGUUUCUCUCAAAUUUAUUGAUCAAAGACUGCAAAAGACUUUUUUUUCUUUUUUUUUUUUGAGAUGGAGUCUUGCUCUGUCGCCCAGGCUGGAGUGCAGUGGUGUGAUCUCAGCUCACUACAAACUCUACCUCCCAGGUUCAAAUGAUUCUCCUGCCUCAGCCUCUCAAGUAGCUGGGACUACAGGUGGCCACCACCACACUCAGUUAAUUUUUGUAUUUUUAGUAGAGAUGGGGUUUCACUAUGUUGGCCAGACUGGGUACAAAAUCCAUGUAACUGUGAGUUUAUAUGGGGAAGAAAUUAGAUCAAGAACAUAAAUAAUGCACCUGUUUCGUCAGUCCACCAGACACAGAUGACAGCCAGACAAGUGUGGAGAUGCAGAGGAUUGUUUGAAUUAUGAUUCAUUAGAGCCUACUAUCUAAGUAUUAUGUUACCAUUAUCUGAGUACUAAUGGUAGGCAUUGAAGAUACUGUGAUCAGAAGCCCAAAUCCCAUCCUCAAAUUUGAUGAGGGAGACAAAGAAAUAAGCAGCUUAUGACCCAGGAUGAAAUGUGGGCUUGGGGCAAGAAUCCCUGUGCUUACUUGUUUGUCUUCGCUUCUGCUAUCACAUUUAAAGGUGCAAAUCAAAUCUGUCUCCAUUUCAAGUUGCUCUUUCAUCUUACAGUUUUUGUUUUGUUUAUAUCUGCUGUUUCUAACUGGACACCAGAACAAUCAUUUCAUGAAAAACAAGAUGAUGAGAACUUGAGAGCGGUUUUCUCUCCAGGAGAAACAGAUGCUUCUCAUGCAAUAGUCGGAAUGACUCAAUAUUAUUUCCACAGAUGGAACUGUGCAUUUGAACUCCCUUCGGGAACAGGUUCUACUGCAAUAGGACCUCGCUUUCAGAUAAAGAGCGAGUGGCAGAUAAAUUCAUGAAAGUGCUUUCUAUGCAACUGGCACCUGGAACCAAUCUUUUAGGAUAGAGAGAAUUAUAUUGCGGGAUUUUAAAAUAUUAUACUUUGAUAGAGCACAUGGAAGAGAAACACUUUCGAUGUUAGUUCAAAGUAUUUCAUUGGGAUUUCCCGUAGGAGUCGGGUGGUGAAAAGGAGAGACAUUCUUGCUGAGUUUAUGUUGUGUUUCAGAGGAUGUAAGACAAGCAGCAAAUCAGCAGAGACAAGAUGGGGUCUCCCUCUGUCACCCAGACUGGAGUACAGUAACCUGAUCUCGGCUCACCGGAACCUCUGCCUUCCAGGUUCAAGCGAUUCUCCUCCCUCAGCCUCCUGAGUAGCUGGGAUUACAG